rfam:Picea glauca, whole genome shotgun sequence.
GGGUGCGAUCAUACCAGCGUUAAUGCACCGGAUCCCAUCAGAAAUUCGUAGUUAAGCGUGCUUGGGCCAUAGUGGUACUGGGAUGGGUGACCUCCAGGGAAGUCCUGGUGUUUCACCCU